GAUGAACGCUGGCGGCGUGCUUAACACAUGCAAGUCGAACGGAAAGGCUCCUGCUUGCAGGGGUACUCGAGUGGCGAACGGGUGAGUAACACGUGGGUGAUCUGCCCUGCACUUCGGGAUAAGCCUGGGAAACUGGGUCUAAUACCGGAUAGGACGAUGGUUUGGAUGCCAUUGUGGAAAGUUUUUUCGGUGUGGGAUGAGCUCGCGGCCUAUCAGCUUGUUGGUGGGGUAAUGGCCUACCAAGGCGUCGACGGGUAGCCGGCCUGAGAGGGUGUACGGCCACAUUGGGACUGAGAUACGGCCCAGACUCCUACGGGAGGCAGCAGUGGGGAAUAUUGCACAAUGGGCGCAAGCCCGAUGCAGCGACGCCGCGUGGGGGAUGACGGCCUUCGGGUUGUAAACUCCUUUCGCUAGGGACGAAGCGCAAGUGACGGUACCUGGAGAAGAAGCACCGGCUAACUACGUG
rnacentral:rRNA from 1 species